GACGAACCGUGCAAACGUUGUUCGGAAUCACUGGGCUUAAAGGGCGCGUAGGCGGGUGGCCAAGUCAGGGGUGAAAUCCUCCAGCUUAACUGGAGAACAGCUUCUGAUACUGGCCGUCUUGAGGGGGGUAGGGGCAUGUGGAACUUCCGGUGGAGCGGUGAAAUGCGUAGAUAUCGGAAGGAACGCCGGUGGCGAAAGCGACGUGCUGGACCCUUUCUGACGCUGAGGCGCGAAAGCCAGGGGAGCAAACGGG
rnacentral:rRNA from 1 species